rnacentral:rRNA from 1 species
UACAGAGGGUGCGAGCGUUGUCCGGAAUUACUGGGCGUAAAGGGCUCGUAGGCGGCCAACUAAGUCAGACGUGAAAUCCCUCGGCUUAACCGGGGAACUGCGUCUGAUACUGGAUGGCUUGAAUCCGGGAGAGGGAUGCGGAAUUCCAGGUGUAGCGGUGAAAUGCGUAGAGAUCAUGAGGAAGACCAGUGGCGAAGGCGGGUCUCUGGACAGUUCCUGACACUGAGACACGAAGGCCAGGGGAGCAAACGGG